GGGGGAUUUCGAAGAGAAAACGCGUGAUUUUCGCUUAAAUGGGGGAUUCUCGAAGAGAAAACGCGUGAUUUUCGGUUAAAUGGCGGAUUUCCAAAGAGAAAACGUGUGAUUUGCAAGUUAAAUGGGUGAUUCUCAAAGAGAAAACGCGUGAUUUUCUCUUAAAUGGGGGAUUGUCAAAGAGAAAACGCGUGAUUUUCGGUCUAAAUGGGGGAUUCUCGAAGAGAAAACGCGUGAUUUUUGCUUAAAUGGGGGAUUUCCGAUGAGAAAAUGCUUGAUUUUUGCUUAAAUGGGGGAUUUGCAAAGAAAGACCGCGUGAUUUUCGGGUUAAACAAUAGAUUUCCGAAUAGAAAACGUGUGAUUUUCGGGUUAAUGGGGGUUUCUCGAAGAGAAAACGCGUGAUUUUCGGUUAAAUGGGUGAUUCUCGAAGAGAAAACGCGUGAUUUUCCUUAAAUGGGGGAUUGUCAAAGAGAAAACGCGUGAUUUUCGGUCUAAAUGGGGAUUCUCGAAGAGAAAACGCGUGAUUUUUGCUUAAAUGGGGGAUUUCCGAUGAGAAAAUGCUUGAUUUUUGCUUAAAUGGGGGAUUUGCAAAGAAAGACCGCGUGAUUUUCGGGUUAAACAAUAGAUUUCCGAAUAGAAAACGUGUGAUUUUCGGGUUAAUGGGGGUUUCUCGAAGAGAAAACGCGUGAUUUUCGGGUCAAAUGGGGGAUUCUCGAAGAGAAAACGCGUGAUUUUCGGCUUAAAUGGGGGAUUCUCGAAGAGUAACCACCAGAUUUUCGCUUAAAUGAAGGAUUUGCAAAGAGGAAGCGUGUGAUUUUUGCUUAAAUGGGGGAUUCUCAAAGAGAAAACGCGUGAUUUUUGGGUUAAGUGGG
ensembl:lncRNA